UGCGCGCGCCCCCGCCCCGCGCCCCCCGCGCCCCCGCCCCGCGCCCCCCCCGCCCCGCUACCCCGCGCCCCCGCGGCCCCCGCGCCCCCGCGGCCCCCGCGCCCCCCGCGCCCCCGCCCCCGCUUGUGUGCGCGGCUGUGGCCGGUCGAGGCCCGACCACCUGCUCCGAGGACUGUGUUUCUUGCUGACACCAAACGCCCGGCAGGGGGUGGAAUGAAAAGGACAAAUAAAUUAACUGUAAAGAAAAAACAACCCUUCCCGCAUUCUGCCACCUACAACGGCCUCUCCAUUCCCAAGCGUUCUCUCAGGGCCACCACCAGGCCCAGAAACCGCCGGAAGGGGGAAGGGACGUGGAUAAGAGCUAGAGAGUGUUGGUCUCCCUUUGGAGCUGAUUUGACCUCACUCCCCUUCUGGCAAAGCUUUUAUUUGCAUUUCCCUUGUGCACCCAACAGAUUAGUCCACAGUCCAUCUAAAGGAACUCUCCAGAAGGGAAAAAGACACCAGGAUUGA
rnacentral:lncRNA from 1 species